rnacentral:tRNA from 1 species
GCCUUGGUAGUGUAGAGGCGAUCAUGCAGGCCUGUCGAGCCUGCGACUCGGGUUCAAAUCCCGGCCAAGGCGC